UGGGGAAUAUUGCACAAUGGGCGAAAGCCUGAUGCAGCAACGCCGCGUGAGUGAUGAAGGCCUUCGGGUUGUAAAGCUCUGUCUUUUGGGACGAUAAUGACGGUACCAAAGGAGGAAGCCACGGCUAACUACGUGCCAGCAGCCGCGGUAAUACGUAGGUGGCAAGCGUUGUCCGGAUUUACUGGGCGUAAAGGAUGCGUAGGCGGAUUUUUAAGUGAGAUGUGAAAACCCUAAGCUUAACUUGGGGACUGCAUUUCAUACUGGAAAUCUAGAGUGCGGGAGAGGAGAAUGGAAUUCCUAGUGUAGCGGUGAAAUGCGUAGAGAUUAGGAAGAACACCAGUGGCGAAGGCGAUUCUCUGUACCGUAACUGACGCUGAGGCAUGAAAGCGUGGGUAGCAAACAGGAUUAGAUACCCUGGUAGUCCACGCCGUAAACGAUGAGUACUAGGUGUAGGAGGUAUCGACCCCUUCUGUGCCGCAGUUAACACAAUAAGUACUCCGCCUGGGAAGUACGAUCGCAAGAUUAAAAACUUAAAGGAAUUGACGGGGGUCAUAGCUGUUUU
rnacentral:rRNA from 1 species